AUCAUUAAAACACUGGCUACUAUAUGAUCACCAAAAUUAAGCAACAUUGAGCCUGGUCAGUACUUAGAUGGGAGACCACUUGGGAAUAUAAGGUGUC